AGUGAAGUGCCUGAAUAAAGGGUUAUCGUGAUAGGAUAAAUCAUGUAAUUUCAUUUACCUUCACUA
rnacentral:tRNA from 1 species